UCCCAGACUGCACUGGAGAGUGAGGCCUU
rnacentral:piRNA from 1 species